rnacentral:sRNA from 2 species
GCACCCGUCAUCCGGGGAGUAGCCGGCCGUUCCGCACCGAACGGGAAUCGCGUCAACAUACUUGGGGGAGACCUCAUGGCGCGAUCAGGGUCCGAAAGACCUUGGCGAGACCGAUGACACCUGACCUCGCCUGCCGGGCGGGGGUCAUGGUGUCGUCCGUCACUGCCUGCCCGGCCC